AUAUCACGUACGUAUAUGUUCAUUCAUAUACACAGACCGUAAUUAAUAUUGUUGAGAUCGAAAAACAAAUUCAUCGUAUCGAAAGUAUGUUCAACCAAGUUAAUACGAGUUUCUGUAUCUGUAUUCAUAAUCUUUUUUCUCUUAACGAAUUACUAUAUUAGGAAAGGAAUGUUCCACUUUUAAUAAUCCAAUCUUCUUCCUUCUUCAAUCAUUUUGCUACCAAAGUCGCUUCUUAAGUUAUUCCUUGUAUUUAUAUAUAGAUGUAGAGAGAGAAAGUUUGAAUCUUUUUUGUUUUACUAGUACUUGUGAUUCUUGUAGAUGUGUGAUCGAGCAAAUUUUAAUGAUGGGUAAUGGCGGGUGGUGGAUUAGAUCGGAAUAAUAAUAAUAUUAUAUUGAGCGGGGUUAUUGAUGGGUAUUAGGAACAGGAGCUCAAGAUUUCGUCAUUUUUUACUACUUAGAUUGAAGCCUCUCUGGCCCAGGCAUAUUCAUCAUCAGAUGGGCACCAUGAAGUAAUUAAUUACUUUCCCAUUUCCUUUUUAUUUAUUUUUCAUAUUGCAGUUAGUUUUUUUUUUUUUUUAAGUUUAUAAUUGCGUGCCUAAUAACUGUUUUCGUUUGUUUAUUUAUUAUCCUCAAGUCAUCGUCCAAGCUUUAUUAAUUGUUCUAAGUUAAUUUGCUUUUAUGACUUUCUUUCUGUUUGGUGGCUGCAAGAAUGUGUAAAGGAAUUGAAAUUUUAACAAUUUUCUCCCAGUAUAUUGGAUUUGUGAUUAGAAAGGUUAUUCUCCAUAAUAUUCACCUCCACUUUAAAUAUUUUACAUAAAAAGGGUGAUCCAUAGUUGUAGUUGUUUCUUUUAUAAGGUUUCUCAGCUAUCCAUCAGGAGUUAGUGAUGAUUCCUUGAAUAAUUAUCAAAAUCCCUUUGUUCUCGAGUUUGCUAAACACACAAAACUAAUGGCCCAGUAAUUAAGAAUGGGUUUGCACUUGAAUUUAAGUGAUGAGGUCGCAAAGAGGGAAUUAGGGCUCUUAUUUGACUAAAGGUUGGUUCUUUGCUUUCUUUUAGAAUCAAAGUCACUAUUAAUCCUCUACAACUUACUCUGUUUGAUUUAAGCUGCCUUGGAUACGAUUAGUUCCUUAAAAAACCAAAGUCCGGCAUUUUAUGAAUGUCCUCGUCCAUCAUUUGUGCGGUACAGUUGUGGUAGUGGCUUCUUCCAAAUAUGAUAUUAGUUGCUGCAAAAUCUACAACUAAUAAGUAAUAAUUCAUCAGAGGCAAAAGCUCCACUUGGCAGCGGAUGGUUAUGGAUUAUUAUAUUGUUUUUAUUAAUUCUCUAAGUCAUUGUAACUGGGCUGGCAUCGGUUACAAUACACAAGUAGUGUCACUUCUAUAGACCUGUUCAUUACUCCGGGAAAGUAGAACUGAUAAGCGAACUUGGGAUGCUGAAUUUUUCAUCAUUUUCGAAUCUUUCUGCUCUUGAUCAAUUAUGUGGACUGCAUGGGUAGCAUCCCAUACCCUGAAUACCUUCAUCGGAACUUCUUACUGGUAAGCACCUCCUUCCUAGGCGAACCUCACCCAACUAUCACUUUCAAUCUCACGCAAUAAUUACUGGUUACAAUCUCACAAGUAGUAUCCUUUUCUUCUUCUUUAUGAUUUCUUUUAUAGCUAUAUCACAAAACCCCAUUCGUCCAGAAGCACAGAGUUAAGCCACGGGCCUCAAACACCCUGAACCCACUUCCCAGGGAUGGAGGAAAACAAGUUUAUUUUUUUAACACUUUUUCACAUGAAAAAUGUCGUUAUAGAUGUAUCGUUGUUAUAGCAACGAUUUUUAUGUAUAAAUAUUAUUUUUUGUUGUGAAUUUAUUAGUUUCCUAUUUUUUUUUCACGAAUAUAUUAUAUAUCAGCACAUGUCCAUUUUUCGCUAAAUAUUGACAUGUUAAUUAAGUAGAAAAAGUGAUUUGCUUAAUCAGCCAUGUUGUGAAAGUUUUUUGUGAUACAUGGUUAGGAGUUAAGAUGUUCUCACUUUAAUUUAUUUUAUUUUAUUACAUUUACUUUCACGUUGGUCACAAUCUGACUUUAUCAAAUAUUAUUGCAUUUUUUGCUUAAUAAUGAGGCACAAGUUUUUUUAAAAAAUAAUUCCAAUAAUUAUAUUGAAUACGAAGUGCAAGUUUGUGUUGUAGCCUAGGUGAUUUUUACUAUAUGGUUAUUUAUGCUUCAAAUUGAAAACAACAUUACCUGUGAUUAAUUGCAACAAGUCAGCUUAAUUGUAAAAUUUUCUAUCAAG
rnacentral:lncRNA from 1 species